AGAACGAACGCUGGCGGCAGGCUUAACACAUGCAAGUCGAGCGCUGUAGCAAUACAGAGCGGCGCACGGGUGAGUAACACGUGGGAACAUGCCUUUCGGUUCGGAAUAACUCAGGGAAACUUGUGCUAAUACCGGAUACGCCCUUACGGGGAAAGAUUUAUUGCCGAAAGAGUGGCCCGCGUUGGAUUAGCUAGUUGGCGGGGUAAAAGCCCACCAAGGCGACGAUCCAUAGCUGGUCUGAGAGGACGACCAGCCACACUGGGACUGAGACACGGCCCAGACUCCUACGGGAGGCAGCAGUGGGGAAUCUUGGACAAUGGGGGAAACCCUGAUCCAGCCAUGCCGCGUGAGUGAUGAAGGCCCUAGGGUUGUAAAACUCUUUCGGCGGGGACGAUAAUGACGGUACCCGCAGAAGAAGCUCCGGCUAACUUCGCGCCAGCAGCCGC
rnacentral:rRNA from 1 species